rnacentral:rRNA from 1 species
CCCGGUGUAGCGGUGAAAUGAGUAGAUAUGGGGAGAACACCUGUGGAGAGAGCGGCGCAGUGGACCACAACUGACGAUGAUGCGCGAGAGCUAGGGGAGCAAACAGGAUUAGAUAUCCUAGUAGUCCUAGCCAUAAACGAGGGAUGCUUGGUGUGUCGGGUACCCAAUCCCGACCUUCAGAAGCUAACGUGAUCAGCAUCCCUCGUGAGGAGUACGGUCGCAAGGAUGAUACUCAAAGGAGUUGACGGGGGGCCGCACAAGCGGUGGAGCAUGUGGUUCAAUUCGACGCAACGCGAAGAUCCUUACGUGGGCUCGAAGCGCAGUGGACCGGGGUAGAAAUAUCCCUUUCCGCAAGGACUGCUGCGGAGGUGCUGCAUGGCUGUCGUCAGCUGUGGUCGUGAGAUGUUGGGUUAAGUCCCGCAACGAGCGCAACCCUUAUCCCUAGUUGCCAUCGGGUCAAGCCGGGCACUCUAGUGAAACCGCCCCGGAUAACGGGGAGGAAGGUGGGGAUGACGUCAAGUCUUCAUGGCCUUUAUGUCCAGGGCUACACACGUGUUACAAUGGUCGGUACAAACCGUCGCAAACCCGCGAGGGGGAGCUAAUCGGAAAAAGCCGACCUCAGUUCGGAUUGGAGUUUGCAACUCGACUCCAUGAAGCUGGAAUCGUUAGUAAUCGCAGAUCAGCACGCUGCGGUGAAUACGUUCCCGGGCCUUGUACACACCGCCCGUCACAUCACGAAAGUGAGCUGUACUAGAAGUCGGUGAGCUAACCGCAAGGAGGCAGCCGUCCAAGGUACGGCCCAUGAUUGGGGUGAAGUCGUAACAAGGUAACC